AGGUACAAGCUUUUCUUUAUUUUUCCUUUGGGUCUUUUAGAAGCAUGAAAAUUAUAGAGUAAAUAUGGGCUUCUCUAGGAAAAAUGCUAGCCAGUUUGUUUUUAAGGGUCCUUAUUUUCCUCUUCAAUCCUUACUCAAAUCUUAGAGCAGUUUGGCGCUGUGAAUUUCAUGGAGAUUCUUGUCUUUUUUGUGGGAGAUUUAAAAAUGGGAAAGAAUUCUUUUUUUUUCUUUUUUAAGAAUUAUUUUCAUUAUUAUUGUUGUUGUUAUCAUU
rnacentral:misc_RNA from 1 species